UCUCCGUUGGUGAACCAGCGGAGGGAUCAUUACCGAGUUUUCAACUCCCAAACCCCAUGUGAACUUAUACCAUUUACAACCGUUGCUUCGGCGGGUUCUCGCCCCGGGCUUUACACCCCGGAACCAGGCGGCCCGCCGGGGGACCCAAACUCUAGAUUUUUAUUUUAGCAUGUCUGAGUGGAAUCAUUACAAAAUGAAUCAAAACUUUCAACAACGGAUCUCUUGGUUCUGGCAUCGAUGAAGAACGCAGCGAAAUGCGAUAAGUAAUGUGAAUUGCAGAAUUCAGUGAAUCAUCGAAUCUUUGAACGCACAUUGCGCCCGCCAGUAUUCUGGCGGGCAUGCCUGUUCGAGCGUCAUUUCAACCCUCAAGCCCCAGCGGUUUGGUGUUGGGGACCGGCGAGUACAGAGGCUUUGGGGACUUGUCCCCCUUCCCUCGGCGCCGCCCCCGAAAUGAAUUGGCGGUCUCGUCGCGGCCUCCUCUGCGUAGUAGCACAACCUCGCAUCAGGAGCGCGGCGCGGCCACUGCCGUAAAACGCCCAACUUUUUUUAAGAGUUGACCUCGAAUCAGGUAGGAAUACCCGCUGAACUUAAGCAUAUCAAUAAGCGGAGGAAAAGAAACCAACAGGGAUUGCCCCAGUAACGGCGAGUGAAGCGGCAACAGCUCAAAUUUGAAAUCUGGCCCCUAGGGCCCGAGUUGUAAUUUGCAGAGGAUGCUUUUGGCGAGGUGCCUUCCGAGUUCCCUGGAACGGGACGCCAUAGAGGGUGAGAGCCCCGUCUGGUUGGAUGCCGAGCCUCUGUAAAGCUCCUUCGACGAGUCGAGUAGUUUGGGAAUGCUGCUCUAAAUGGGAGGUAUAUGUCUUCUAAAGCUAAAUACCGGCCAGAGACCGAUAGCGCACAAGUAGAGUGAUCGAAAGAUGAAAAGCACUUUGAAAAGAGGGUUAAAUAGUACGUGAAAUUGUUGAAAGGGAAGCACUUAUGACCAGACUUGGACCCGGUGAAUCAUCCAGCGUUCUCGCUGGUGCACUUUGCCGGGCUCAGGCCAGCAUCAGUUUGCCUCGGGGGAUAAAGGCUUUGGGAAUGUGGCUCCCUCGGGAGUGUUAUAGCCCAUUGCACAAUACCCUGGGGCGGACUGAGGUUCGCGCAUCUGCAAGGAUGCUGGCGUAAUGGUCAUCAGUGAC
rnacentral:sRNA from 1 species